rnacentral:rRNA from 1 species
AUGAACGCUGGCGGCGUGCCUAAUACAUGCAAGUCGAGCGAAUGGAUUAAGAGCUUGCUCUUAUGAAGUUAGCGGCGGACGGGUGAGUAACACGUGGGUAACCUGCCCAUAAGACUGGGAUAACUCCGGGAAACCGGGGCUAAUACCGGAUAACAUUUUGAACUGCAUGGUUCGAAAUUGAAAGGCGGCUUCGGCUGUCACUUAUGGAUGGACCCGCGUCGCAUUAGCUAGUUGGUGAGGUAACGGCUCACCAAGGCAACGAUGCGUAGCCGACCUGAGAGGGUGAUCGGCCACACUGGGACUGAGACACGGCCCAGACUCCUACGGGAGGCAGCAGUAGGGAAUCUUCCGCAAUGGACGAAAGUCUGACGGAGCAACGCCGCGUGAGUGAUGAAGGCUUUCGGGUCGUAAAACUCUGUUGUUAGGGAAGAACAAGUGCUAGUUGAAUAAGCUGGCACCUUGACGGUACCUAACCAGAAAGCCACGGCUAACUACGUGCCAGCAGCCGCGGUAAUACGUAGGUGGCAAGCGUUAUCCGGAAUUAUUGGGCGUAAAGCGCGCGCAGGUGGUUUCUUAAGUCUGAUGUGAAAGCCCACGGCUCAACCGUGGAGGGUCAUUGGAAACUGGGAGACUUGAGUGCAGAAGAGGAAAGUGGAAUUCCAUGUGUAGCGGUGAAAUGCGUAGAAGAUAUGGAGGAACACCCGGUGGCGAAGGCGACUUUCUGGUCUGUAACUGACACUGAGGCGCG